CCGGCGCACGGGUGAGUAACACGUAUCCAACCUGCCGAUAACUCGGGGAUAGCCUUUCGAAAGAAAGAUUAAUACAAGAUGGCAUCAUGAGUCCGCAUGUUCACAUGAUUAAAGGUAUUCCGGUAGACGAUGGGGAUGCGUUCCAUUAGAUAGUAGGCGGGGUAACGGCCCACCUAGUCUUCGAUGGAUAGGGGUUCUGAGAGGAAGGUCCCCCACAUUGGAACUGAGGCACGGUCCAA
rnacentral:rRNA from 1 species